UUCCUGUGGCUCAGUUGGUAGAGAUUUCUGCUAAUAACGCAAAGGUUGUGGGUUGAAAACUCAGGGAAC